AAUCGUGCGUCUGUCCUCUAAUAGAUCAUAAGCGAGGACCAUUCAAAAUGCGAGAAUAACUUGGGUUAUCAUAUAAAAGAGUAUAGACCACGCCAAACCACAUUCGAUUUGUUAACUUGUUUUAAACUUAAAGUUGUUGUCCAUUUCUUAAAAAAUAGUUUCUCGCCUGCUAUUAUCCAGAUAUUUACAUAAAUUAUAAAUGAAAGUUAAAGAGACCUAAUUUAAUAAUGAUUUGGGGCCCGUUCGCACUAAUGCAUUUUUGUCUGAAAACGCACACUUUCAUAAGCGUUUUCGCCUACCGCCUACACUAAUGCGAUUGAAAAUACUUGCAUUUAAAAUGCUGCUCAGAGUCGGAAAAUAUUUUGACAACGGAGCCCUAUCGGAUUAGAGUGGAGAGCAAAAACUCUGACGCCGUUGACAUCAUAUACACAUGCAUAAGUUACGGUUGUGGCGUUUACUCAAAACGUACGCUUUAGUACGACAACCCGUCGUUUUGAAAACCCACUAGUGUGGAUAGACUUUAGCUGUUUUAUUGAAUUUUUCAGGGCUGGAAACAGACAUUAAGAUUUUAAAACAAAGAGCGGAAGGGCAGAAAGAAGACAUUAAGAUUUUUAAACAAAGAGAAGAAAAGUACAAUCAAGACAGACUGAAGCUUCUGAGAAGGAUUAGAGAGUCUAAGGAGGAGAAAAAGAAAAGCAGACGAAUAGUUGAAAGUAAGUUUAAAAUUCAGAAAGUUCAUAGACCAUUGAUCCAAUUUAAGAUAUAUUUACAUAAAUUAUAAAGUUAAAGAGUCCUAAUCUAACACUAAUGCAUUUUUUUUUGAAAUGCACAGUUUCUUAAGCGUUUUCGCCUACCGCCUACACUAAUGCGAUUGAAAAUACAUGCGUUUAAAACAAUGCUCACAACCGGAAAAACUUUUGACAACGGAGCCCUAUCGGAUUAGAGUGGAGAGCAAAAACUCUGAUGCCGUUGACAUCACAUACACAUGCAUGAGUUACGGCUGUGGCGUUUACUCAAAACGUACACUUUGGCACGACAACCCCUCGUUUUGAAAACCCAUUAGUAUGGGUAAGCUUGAGCUGUUUUUUUGAAUUUUUCAAGGCUGGAAGAAGACAUUAAGAUUUUUAAACAAAGAGAAGAAGGUAAGUUAUCAUGUACCACAAAAUAAAUGUCCUUGUGCAUAAGAUUUGUUUGUGGUUGUAUAACCAGCUAUGACUGGCAGAGAGCUCUUAGGUAGGAGAACCUUUUGAAUUUCUCCGAAAGGAAAUUACUUUUCCUGGUAUAACAUAGAAUUUGCUUGAAGGGUUUUCCUCUUACGACUGUUACGAUUGUAAAAGUAAUAUAUAAAACACGAAAGACCACGUUUGACCACAUUUCGAAACGCCCAGAAGA